rnacentral:rRNA from 1 species
CAGUAGCCGCGGGAAUACGAAGGUCCCGAGCGUUGUUCGGAAUCACUGGGCGUAAAGGGAGCGUAGGCGGCGUGGUAAGUCAGAUGUGAAAUCCCGGGGCUCAACCCCGGAACUGCAUCCGAUACUGCCAUGCUAGAGGAUUGGAGAGGUAGCUGGAAUUCUUGGUGUAGCAGUGAAAUGCGUGGAGAUCAAGAGGAACACUCGUGGCGAAAGCGAGCUACUGGACAAUAACUGACGCUGAGGCUCGAAGGCCAGGGUAGCGAAAGGGAUUAGAUACCCCGGUAGUCCCUGUCUCUUAUGC